AGAGUUUGAUCCUGGCUCAGGACUAACGCUGGCGGCGUGCCUAACACAUGCAAGUCGAGCGGUCUUUACCGGGCGGAAUCUUCGGAGGAAACCUGGUAGAGAUAGCGGCGGACGGGUGAGUAACGCGUGGGCAAUCUACCCUUCAGACCGGGAUAACACUGGGAAACUGGUGCUAAUACCGGAUACGUUCCCUGGGAGGCAUCUUCCGGGGAAGAAAAGGGAGGCGACGACCGCUGAAGGAUGAGCCCGCGUCCCAUUAGCUAGUUGGUGAGGUAACGGCUCACCAAGGCGACGAUGGGUAGCCGGCCUGAGAGGGUGGUCGGCCACACUGGGACUGAGACACGGCCCAGACUCCUACGGGAGGCAGCAGUGGGGAAUCUUGCGCAAUGGGCGAAAACCUGACGCAGCGACGCCGCGUGAGCGAUGAAGGCCUUCUGGUUUUAAAGCUCUGUCAUCAGGGACGAAGUCUCGCUUAGGCGAGGUGACGGUACCGAAGAAGAAGCUCCCCGC
rnacentral:rRNA from 1 species